rnacentral:rRNA from 1 species
CCUACGGGAGGCAGCAGUGAGGAAUAUUGGUCAAUGGGCGGAAGCCUGAACCAGCCAAGUAGCGUGCAGGAUGACGGCCCUACGGGUUGUAAACUGCUUUUAUACGGGAAUAACGCGCCUUACGUGUAGGGCUUUGCAUGUACCGUAUGAAUAAGGACCGGCUAAUUCCGUGCCAGCAGCCGCGGGAAUACGGGAGGUCCGGGCGUUAUCCGGAUUUAUCGGGUUUAUAGGGGGCGUUGGCCGCAUGUCCAGCGUGCUGUGAAAUGUCCGGGCUCAACCCGGGCCUUGCAGCGAGAACUGGCGUGCUUGAGUCCGCGGAAGGCAGGCGGAAUUCGUAGUGUAGCGGUGAAAUGCUUAGAUAUGACGAAGAACCCCGAUUGCGAAGGCAGCUUGCUGCAGCGGAACUGACGCUGAUGCUCGAAAGCGCGGGUAUCGAACAGGAUUAGAUACCACAGUAGUC